AGUGUUUUCUCCUCAGGAAGGCAGGACUGAACCAGGCAGGCUGGGGUGCAGUGAGUCCUCCUGCCUCUUCUCUGAAAUGCCCCUGUGUCACCCUCUCCUUCUGUUUCCUCUGCAGAGCCCUCAGGACUGCCCCCGGACCCUGCUCUCACCCCUGGCACCCGUGCCUACGGGUGGCUCCCAGAACAUCCUGGUGCCUCUGGCCAACACUGCCUUUUUCCAGGGUGCAGCCCUGGAGUGUAGUUUUGGGCUGGAGGAGAUCUUCGAGGCUGUGUGGGUGAAUGAGUCUGUUGUACGCUGUGACCAGGUGGUGCUGCACACGACCCGGAAGAGCCAGGUGUUCCCGCUCAGCCUCCAACUAAAGGGGCGGCCAGCCCGAUUCCUGGACAGCCCUGAGCCCAUGACAGUCAUGGUCUAUAACUGUGCCAUGGGCAGCCCCGACUGUUCCCAGUGCCUGGGCCGCGAAGACCUGGGUCACCUGUGCGUGUGGAGUGAUGGCUGCCGCCUGCGGGGGCCUCUGCAGCCCAUGGCUGGCACCUGCCCCGCCCCCGAGAUCCGCGCG
rnacentral:sRNA from 1 species